AUAGAUUAAUUAACUCUCCUGAUAAAAAUCCAAGAUCAAAUUAUUCUUAUUCACAUUUUAAUUUAUUACCUACAAUUUCACGGCGAAGUCGUAAUUUAAUCCAAUCAAGGAAUUAUUCUAGCCUUUCGCCUAGGACUAGCGCUGUAUGCAGUGUUAGAUCAGAGGGUGAAAGGAAAAUAGUUUUAAAUCCUUCAUUUAUAAGUGGGUUCUCUGAUGCUGAAGGUUCUUUUGUUGUAACUAUUUUAAAUAAUCCUAGAUAUAAAAUAGGAUGAAAUGUACAAGCUAGAUUUCAAAUAAAGUUACAUGAGAAAGAUAGAGCUUUAUUAUUAUUAAUUCAAAAUUAUUUUUAUAAUGUUGGAUAUAUAUCCACCCUAAAGGGUGGAUCUACGGUUGAAUUUAGAGUUAGUGAUAUAACUAGUUUAAAUAAUAUAAUUAUACCUCAUUUUGAAAAGUAUACAUUAAUAACUAAUAAAUAUAAAGAUUUUAUAAUAUUUAAACAAAUUGUAUCGUUAAUGUCAGAAAACAAACAUACUACUUUAGAAGGGUUAAAAGAAAUUUUAGAAUAUAGAGCAUCUCUUAAUUGAGGUUUAUCUAAAAAUUUAAAGGAAUCUUUUCCUUCAAUAGUACCAGUUAAAAGAGUCGAAAUUGAGGAUAAUAUAUUAAGUAAUUUACCUUCUAACUGAGUAGCUGGUUUCUCAGCAGGAGAAUCCAAUUUUUUUAUAACUAUAUCUGGUAAUAAAGUAUGAUUACGUUUUUCUAUAGCUCAAGACUCAAGAGAUAUAUUGUUAUUAAAAAGUUUAGUUGAAUUUUUUAAUUGUGGUUAUAUAGCUCAAUAUAAAAACCGUAAAGUAUGUGAAUUUAUAGUUACAAAAAUUAAUGAUAUAAUUAUAUAUAUAAUUCCUUUUUUUGAAAAAUACAAAAUUGAAGGUUCUAAAUAUAAGGAUUAUGUUAAUUUUAAAGAAGCUGCUAUUCCUAUUAAGAAUAAAGAACAUUUAACUGAAAAAGGUUUAAAUAAAAUAAUAGAAUUAAAAAAUUCUAUGAAUAAAAAUGAUUAAUAUUUUCUUGAUUAAAAGGAAGUUUUCAUCUUGAUCACCAAAGGCGAAGUGAACCUUCGUCUAGUCUUAUACAAGGCGAAACUCUCAAAUUGCGGGAAAUUCUUAAAAACAAAUCUACCAAGUUAAUAUAGUAAUAUAAUUAAUGGAACAAGUAAUGAUUCGUUGUAUGGUAAAAACGAUUUGUAUAUAUAGAAGAUCUGCAGCCAAGCACCAAGUAUUCUUGCUACGCAGGAAUAACGGUGUGCAGUUAAUCGGCUAAAUGUGAGUUGGUUUUUUAUUAAUAUGGGCUGCACAAACUAAAGCUCGGAUAUUAAUAAUUAGCUUAAGAUAUAGUCAGUCUCAAUAUGAGAAUAUUGAGGUAAAACGAAGAGGAAGUAUAGCAAUAGAG
rnacentral:ncRNA from 11 species